rnacentral:rRNA from 1 species
UUUCCGUAGGKGAACCUGSGGAAGGAUCAUUCAUGUUUUUAAAACAGUUUUUUAGGGGGGGGGGGAUUGUAUGUGGAAACACCUUGUUUGGUGCGUUUGCAUGCAUUUCCCUUUUCUAAGAGGCUACAACCAUUCCGGUGACCAUUCUAUACCUUUUUGUUGUUGUUGUACUCCGGUGCUGUAAAAUGCAUCGUUUACCACACACAACUUUUUUUAUUUAAAACCCACCAUGAAAAACCACAACAGAAACGAAACCAAGAAAAUAAAACUCGUGACGGAGGAUAUCUUGGCUCCCACAUCGAUGAAGAACGCAGCGAAAUGCGAUACGUAGUGUGAAUUGCAGAACACGUGAGUCAUCGAAUCUUUGAACGCAAGUGGUGCUCGCGGGCAAUCCUGCGAGCAUGUCUGUUUGAGUGUCCGCACAAAAUACUCGCGCCCCUUGUAUGUAUACAUUUUAUGUAAAUACAAGGUGUGUGCGGCGAUUGGGUAUUUAUCUGCUUCACUGCGGAAGACCCGGAAUGCAGCGCUUGGAAGUUACAUGGGGCGUCAGCCCCAUUUCCGUGUGCAUCAACAUAUCUGCGCGACUAUCUAGCGCGGAAAACCAGUGUUUAAAAAAAACUAGCAAGCAAUGCGUGGUGCUUCGUUGCGUCCGCUGCGCUGAAAAGAAAGGAAGUCUGGACGGAAACGACGUCUCGGGGCUCUCUCUGCUGGGAAGUAACUACAUUCCAGAGGGGGGAGAUGAGGUGGAGUUUUUUUGGGUGCUGGACUGCCAUGAAAAAACUUUUCGGGGCACAUUGUGGGAAACCGCGGUGUAAAAGGCGGUGCGUGAGCGGGUGCUGUAUACUACAUGCGCAGUGUGUCACUGGCGGACUUUAUUCUCGGAUCUCAAAUCAGGCAAGACU